rnacentral:rRNA from 2 species
UACGGAGGGUGCAAGCGUUAUCCGGAAUCAUUGGGUUUAAAGGGUCCGCAGGCGGUCAAUUAAGUCAGAGGUGAAAUCCCAUAGCUUAACUAUGGAACUGCCUUUGAUACUGGUUGACUUGAGUUAUACGGAAGUAGAUAGAAUGUGUAGUGUAGCGGUGAAAUGCAUAGAUAUUACACAGAAUACCGAUUGCGAAGGCAGUCUACUACGUAUAUACUGACGCUCAUGGACGAAAGCGUGGGGAGCGAACAGG